GCUGGGCGUGGUGGUGUGUGCCUGUAGUCCCAGCUACUUGGGAGGCUGAGACAGGAGAAUUGCUUGAACCCGGGAGGUGGAGGUUGCAGUGAGCUGAGAUCGCACCACUGCACUCCAGCCUGGGCAACAGAGCGAUACUCUGUCUCAA
rnacentral:SRP_RNA from 2 species